GGUCAGCCACGCACAAUCACAGACUGUUCUGCUCGGCUCUGUUCUCGGGGUGUGCGCCCUGUUAUCAUCUGGACUUCUGCUGUUACUGGUGCUGACAGGCUUGUGCGUCUCGGAGCGAUCCGUUCCAUCCCGAGUGGAGCCCCAGCAGCUGAGCCCCGCCACGGAAACGGGCGUCGCAGGCAAACUGAACCAGCUCUCAACGGAUUGACAAGCCAGGGAGGCGGGGGAGAGCAGCAGUAAACAAUUUUUGUUACGGGUUGUAAAACCAUAAUUGGAUUGUUUGUUUAUCCAUGUUGUAAUGAUAAACACACACGAGUGGUGGGCCGGACGCGUUGUUACGUUCGGAGAGGAAAAUACCCUUUCUGUCUCUGGUUGGGUCUGUCCGGGUCUGCUGGUUGCCCGCCGGACAUUGUGCCGGCGUGUUCACCGCCCCAGCGGCAGCGUCACGUAGGCCCACUCGUGUACGAAGCCGGCGUCGUAGCCUGCAGGAGAGGCAUGAGCCGGUCCUCUGCUGAGUUUCCUAAUGAAGUGGGGGAGAUGUGAUGACAUGUCACGCAUCUAAUUUCCCUCUUAAUUGUGUUGACGUUGAGGCUGAUGCGCCGGUCGGCUUCUGCCGGUGUUUCUGUGGUUAAUCUCCCACUGCGCCGGGGAAACUGCGGCGUCGCCAGGGAUAUGGCAUGGCUAAUUAGAUUUGUCGAAGCGUCACUGUGUGAGCAGGAGACGCGGGAAGGGAAGGCAGGGCUGUUUUUGAGGUUGUUCGUUUUUAUCGCCAUCCAGAUAAGUUUGUGGUAAUGGACAUGGUGUUCUGUUCCUUCCUCCUCCGCGGCCUGGCCUCCACACCGCGCGUCGCAUCAUGUGAGGGGUCCUCUCUCAAAUGUGUUCGCCGCCCGAAAGCUGUCUGACGAAGUGCUCACAGUGAAGCCAGAGGAAAGCCAGAAGAUGGUUACAGAAGGAAAGUAGUUUGCAAGCUGGUCUGCUACUGUUGGCGAGCCACUGGAGGAUACUUGGUGACCAACUUGUUUUGGUCAUCGAUAGAGAUCGUCCAGGAGGGUGCUUGUCUGGGAAUGACCUUCAUGACCUCACCACCGCUCCGCCCCGGAAAUAUCAACCGCCAACCAGAAGCUCUGUACUACGGCCUACAGGAUGUGGUUGACUGGUCCCAGUGAUGGACAGGUGACCAGCCAGCCCCCUAGCUGCCCUCUCCUGCCGUGACUCCCACCCCUCCGCCCCCACCC